GUCGGCUCAUAUCUUCAUUAUACACAACACCGAAUAGAUCAAACUAAUACAAGUUCAUACAUAAAGUUCAUACAUAAAGUUCAUAUACAACACUUAAUUAAAUGCAACAUACAAAUAACUCUCUAGCUAAAGAAUUUAAAUGCAACGACAAAUGCGAUCAAGAUCGCAACUAAGGUAACAAUUGAUCCAACAGCAUAAUGAUACCAAGCCACAUUAUCAAUGGCAUAUCUUCUAAUCUUUCUAAUCUUCAACCUCAUUUUCUCCAUCUUGAUCUUGUGAUCAUCGACGAUAUCGGCAACAUGCAACUCCAAUUCCAUCUUCUCCCCCUCAAUUCUUUUCAAUUUUUCUUUCAAAUACUCGUUUUCUCUUUCAACUAAAUUUAACCUCUCGACAAUAGGGUCGGUUGGAAUUUCCGGUUCACAUACCUCCUAGAUAAAAAUAUCUAUGUCAACUUGAUGGGCAUAAUUUGUCAUAAACACGAAAUGCAACAACUAGUUUUAAAAGAGAAUAUACCACAUCCGAAUCAUAACAAGGACGAAGGCCGACGGGAACGGAUAUCAAAACCAUGGCACUAUGUAUAACAAACAACGUACGGAUAAGACAAUUAUACGAGUAACUAUAUAUCCAAAUCACACAAACAUCAGUUUGGUAAUGUAAAACAUUCAUGAACAAGAGCCUCGCCACAAGGUGGUGCCGGCGACGGGACGGUGCGGGCAAUCGACGGUGGUUACGACGGAGAUUUAGAAGGCACUAAGUAAACCACACCUACAUAUGCAAACUAAGUGUUAUUUUUGACCUCUAAUUGCAUGUAAAUCAAAUACUAGCAAAUAUAAUUCCUCCCAAAUUAAUCACUAUACAAAGCAUUGCAAGAGCUAAUCUAGCAAUAAGAGUUGAAAGGAAAAAGUUGCUAACCUUUGUGAUCAUUUGAAUGGAUGGGGGCCUUCAAAUCUUGACAAAUUUUGGGCAAAAUUUGUGAGGAGCUUGAGGAAGAGAGGGGAAGAACAGAGGAAGUGAGGGGGAAGGGGAAGAACAGAGUGGCUCGGAUGGACGGAGGGUUUAUGUACGCCGACCUUUAGUACCGGUUUGUGCCAUGAACCGGUACUAAAGGUGCUGGACGGGCCCCAGACUGACAACAUCCUGCCACCACUCUCUUUACUACCGGUUCGUGGCACGAACCGGUGCUAAAGGUUCGCCACGAACCGGUACAAAUGAGAGCGGCCGGCUAGCCGUUGGAACCGACACUAAUGGACACGUUAGUGCCGGCUCAAAAUCAAACCGGCACUAAUGUGUCUCAGAUUUGCCCCUUUUUCUACUAGUGACCAAACAAAGGUGAAGACAUGACAUAAAUAAACAACCUCCUAGCCUCCUAACUACAUAUAGCUGUAGAUGUUUUUCUCAUGGGUUAAUACAAAUGCGACGUUACUUAUCUAACAUUUAUUAUUUCCUUCUGCCCUAAUUGAAGUAUUACUAGUGACUAAUUCUAAGGUACAACAGAAAACAUGCAUAAAGCAUAACCAUGUUGUAGAUCAGCAAUCAUGCUUACAUGGCAACAAUAAGAGCCAGUGAUAAGCUCCCCAUGUUUACAUAGGAUUUAUGGUGUAAUAUUCAGAUGGUCCAGACAAGUGUUAAAACAGGAUACCAAACCAACAAUUUCCAACAUGUGCAUUCAUUUUCCCAAUGACAUAAUAUAUGCCAUUGUCUCGAUGACAUUUUAUAUGUCGGUGUCUUUCUUGUGUCCCCAAAUUAAAAUCAAGGUUUAAUUUUAUAAUAUUUUGUUAAACUUCACGCACCAGCAGAAGUAUUACUAUAUGGCUAACAAAAUAGUUGCACAUCACAGUUAACCAAACAAAGAUGAGGAAGUACAGGAAGUUGUACCAGCUAGAGUAUAGAAGCAGCCGUAAAGAAGUAACACAACGCAAGUGCUGCAUACCCAGAAAAUUUACCACUAGCUUGCAAUCGGUUUAGUACUGGAGAGGCAGUCCCAUAAGAGGGGCGACUAAGUCUUGGAGCCGAAGCACACUUACACACGUCAUGAUCACAUCCCUUUCCUUUUGAGGCAUGUCACUAUGCAUACCUAAUACCGUUAAGUUGUUGGCGCACAUUCUUUGGGUAAGAUAACCCCCCUGAUCAAGAGGAAAUUAUAAUUUUAGCAUGUGGUGAACGAUUAAUUAUGUCAACUUGACCAUGGUUAAACACUUAACAAAGCUGGACAGCCUUUAGAACAAAAAAGCUGCACAAGAAUGAUUUACACUUCAGUCAACAAAUGGUUUUCUUAACUAAAGCAUAACAGACUAAUUAAAAGAGAGUUUUGAUAUAGAUUUUCACAGGGAAGUAAGAUGCAUCUUUUAAGGAAAUAAUAAUGAUUUUCACAGAGAACUAAAUGCAUUGAUAGAUAGUGCAUCAGCAUUAGAGUUAGACCAGAUCCAUAGCAGAGUAACUGAAAAUUUCUAGAUCCAUAGCAUUUUUAGAGAAAUAAAGCAUCACAUAACAGACUAGAGCUUGUCAGACCAAACUAAUGGAUACAACCAACUAGGCAGGCGUAUGAGAAUGGCAGAAGAUAUUUUCUUUUGGGACGCAACAUAGCACAAAUUAUUCCAGAGAGGAUAAGGACGCAACAUACGACAUACAACAGAAACAGAGGUACAUGCCAAUAUGCGAACUUAUGUGGUAGCCAAGGGUGAGCGUUGCUGUUGGUGACGAGCAGACGAACUUUGCAGAAAUCUGUAAUGAGACAUCGCGCCAUUGGUGGCGGCAUGGGCGCGUGGCUGAGCUUGUUGGAGACGAGAUCUUUCCGUGAGAGGAGGAAGAGGAGGGUGCCGGCGGACGGGGCUGUCGGCGGACGCGGCACUGGGGAAGCCAUGCAUCGGAUAGGGUUAGGGGGUCUGGGAUAUGCUCACCGCUGUCGGUGGGGACUCCGGCCAACGAAGAUGCCCAUGUGGUGGCAACGGAGGGGCCGGGUAAGGCAGGCGAUGGAGGGGGCCGGGAGCUCGGGGCUAUGGCCGCCGCCGGCGGCAGGGUCGGGUCCGAGGACGGCGGCGGCCGAAAUUGGGGGCAGGGGCAGGGGCGGGGGUGGAUAGGGUUAAUGUGAGGCUACGGUUUCCUUGGGGGUAUUCGGCCAAGGUGAGGUGAAAACUGGGCCUCCCAUAGCGAAAUUUUUG
rnacentral:rRNA from 1 species